rnacentral:rRNA from 1 species
AUGGCCGGCGUCCUGCUCUCGGCCGCCGUUGCCUGCGUCCUUCUCGCCGGCGCCGCGUCCGCGUCGUCGUCGUCGCCGCGGGUGUUCACCGUCGGCGGCGUAGAGAGGGGCUGGAGGCAGCCGGCGCCCGGCGAGGAGACCUACAACCACUGGGCCACCAAGAACCGCUUCCACGUCGGCGAUUUCCUCCAUUUCAGGUACGACAAGAACGACUCCGUGCUGGUGGUGACGCGCGACGACUACAAGCGCUGCGGCGCGGACAGGCCGGUGCUCCGCCUCGAGGGCGGCGAGGCGAGGUUCCGGCUCGAGCGGAGCGGCUUCCUCUACUUCAUCAGCGGCUCGCCGGGCCACUGCGACGCCGGCCAGAGGUUCACCCUGCGCGUCAUGGCGCAGAGGGACAACGGCGCCGCCUCCCCGACGGAGGCCCCCGCCAUGUCUCCCGGCGGGUCCUUCAACUCCACGCCGGGGUCCGGAUCAGGAUCCACGCGCAUGCCGCCGCGCGGGAACGCCGGCGACGGGAAGACCAGCGGCGCCGCGCCCUUCGGUGCCUAUCACGCCGUUGGCGCCGCUCUGGGAGUGGGUGCCGCCUUGCUGGCCUUUGCAUGA